rnacentral:lncRNA from 1 species
CGGGAGAACACGGGGUCCCCAGCCCGGCAGGGGAUGCUCGGGGAGGCGGGAGUCGGGCAGGAGUGGCUGGAGGAAGGGAGGAGCAGUUUUACAGCCGUAAUUCCACUCUUUGGUGAGGCUGGGACAGGCUUCAUUGUCUCUUGCGUUUCUCGGGGGUGCCUGAUGUUAAAAGUCCUGCCAGUGAAGAAUUGCCCUCUUUGGAGUGGAGCACAGAUCCUCCCAGGUAACCUGCCCUUCAGCAGCGACUCCCAAAUGCUGUGCUCAGAUGGGCUUUGAUACUUGGAGGGCACAUGACUGUAAAACAG